rnacentral:rRNA from 1 species
CCUACGAGGUGCAGCAGUGGGGGAUAUUGGACAAUGGGGGAAACCCUGAUCCAGCGACGCCGCGUGAGUGAAGAAGUAUUUCGGUAUGUAAAGCUCUGUCAGCAGGGAAGAAAGAAAUGACGGUACCUGACCAAGAAGCCCCGGCUAACUACGUGCCAACAGCCGCGGUAAUACGUAGGGGGCAGGCGUUAUCCGGAUUUACUGGGUGUAAAGGGAGCGUAGCCGGUGAUGCAAGUCUGGAGUGAAAGGCGGGGGCCCAACCCCCGGACGGAUCUGGAAACUGUGUAACUUGAGUGCAGGAGAAGUAGGCGGAAUGCGUGGGGUAGAGGUGAAAUGCAUAGAUAUAAGGAAGAA